GGCCUGAUGGUGGAGUGGCUACACAACGGUCUGCAAAACCGUUUACGUGGGUUCGAAUCCCACUCAGGCCU
rnacentral:tRNA from 1 species